AUAGCAGAAUAUCAGUGAAUCAUCGAAUCUUUGAACGCACCUUGCGCUCCUUGGUAUUCCGAGGAGCAUGCCUGUUUGAGUGUCAUGAAAUUCUCAACCUCUCUGGCUUUUAUAAAGCUAGUCAGGCUUGGAUUGUGGAAGUUGCUGGCUUCAUGGAAAUCAGCUCUUCUUAAAUGCAUUAGCAAAAUUCUUGCUGACCAUCUUUGGUAUGAUAAUUAUCUAUACCAUUGAGAGUCGGUGGUUCAGGCUCCGCUUGGGAUAAUAUUUUAUAUCCAAGUGUUCGUUCAACCUCUUUGAAGCACCAGCUUUGGCACAGAUGUUAACUCAUCUGAAUGGUGUUAACUACUUCAGGUAGACGAAGCGAGGCGUUCUUAGGAGCGCUCACGAGAGCAAGCAGCGUCAGA
rnacentral:sRNA from 1 species